AGUUAAUGAGUUUUAAACAUAUAUUUUGAAAAUAUAAAUAAGGAAUAAUAAUCCUAUUAACUU
rnacentral:tRNA from 1 species